AUGUAGGGUGAUCUGUCUCAAAUAGGAACAAAUUACUCUAAAGGAAAUAAAUCCUAGAUAGUUUUCCACUCAAGUCAAGCAUUUUGU
rnacentral:pre_miRNA from 10 species